ACUUCGAAAAAAUGCCGAUAACGAACAUCAAAUAUUUGUUCAUACUGUUUACAGACACUACGUACGCUCGGGUGCCAACCGCCUGGCGUCCUGGGUUAACGUGUUCUUUCGCAUGCUCGAAAUUGGCACACACACACGCA
ensembl:ncRNA Y15E3A.11 ncRNA